UACGUAGGGGGCGAGCGUUGUCCGGAUUCAUUGGGCGUAAAGAGCGUGUAGGCGGCCAGGUAGGUCUGCUGUGAAAACUCGAGGCUCAACCUCGAGACGUCGGCGGAAACCAUCUGGCUAGAGUCCGGAAGAGGAGAGUGGAAUUCCUGGUGUAGCGGUGAAAUGCGCAGAUAUCAGGAAGAACACCCGUGGCGAAGGCGGAUCUCUGGGCCAUUACUGACGCUGAGGAGCGAAAGCGUGGGGAGCGAACAGG
rnacentral:rRNA from 1 species